CCGUGUCUUUCUCUCAUGGAUCCACCAUCCAUCAGUCCAUCCAUCUGGCUUCUGUUCUCAGGUCAUUGUCUCCUUGUCCUUUCAGCUCACCUAUAAGGCAAAGCUCCGGACCUGGACUUAUGUCACUUCUUACCCUCCUCACUCCUAUCUUUAACUGAUGUGGGAAAACCAUGGAGGCAGGGGAUUGAUGCUGAUGGUCUGUAGUCUUCCAGUCUGCAGACCACAAGACUUUCCCACAAUCCUUUCAUGUAUCACCAGUGGCCUCCAAGUUCCAUUUGGUUAAAGAGUAUUCCAAACUCUAAACUCUUCUCAUGCUCGGAUACCCUUGCCCUUUCUGUGGAUGCAUCUACCACUGCAGCUUCAAUAAAAAUUAGAUCCCUUUGUCCUGGUUGCGUAGAACACAAGGUAUGCACACCAAGGAGUGAACACGAAAUGAUUUCGCUAAGACUUCAGGCUGCUGCAGUGAGAGGUAAUGAGACAGGUUCAAAAAUGAUUAAGAUAAAAAUAAAAAAUAGUAGCUAACACUUACUGAGCUCUUAGUGCCAGGCAGAGUUCCAGGGGUGUCACCUCACUUAAUCUUCCUGACAACGUCAUGAAGAAGUGGGAAACAGAUUCCUGUUUACGCAUGCUUCUUUGCUAGGAGAACCCCCAAUUUAGUUCAUUGUCAUGGCAAGGUAAGGAGCCAAGAUUAAACACACAAACCAAUGGAACAUUUGGGGUGGGGGUAAAGGAAGUGAUUUUGAGACUCCAGUAAGGGUGGAAUGUAAAAGACUAAGGAUAAAGAAAGUGCUGGGGAUGUUUCCAAAGAUAGCAGUUAGACACAGAAAUUCCUUUCUGAAAAAGAAGUUCUGAUCUUUCCCCACUGUCUUCCAUACUCCCAUACUAUACAGAGAGAAGUUAAGUAGAGAGUGGUCCACAUGAGCUCAGCGCUACAGUUUAUUAUGGAAUAAUAAAGACCCCAGGGCUGUUCAAGAGAUGAAACUUUUCUUUUUUCUUUCUUUCUUUCUUUCUUUUUUUUUGGAUACUAGGGAUUGAACCCAGGGCUCUCAACCACUGAGCUACAUCUCCAUCCUGGUUUUUAUUUUUUAUUUUGAGACAGGGUCUCACUAAUUUGCUUAGGGGCUUACUACACUGCUGAGGCUGGCUUUGAAUUUGCCAUCCUCCUGUCUCAGCUGCUGCAAUUACAGUCAUGUGCCGCCUCACCCGACCACAUGAAACUUGUUAAAGUAAUAGUUAUUCUCCUGAAUUCCUGACUCUUCCAGCUGCCACCCUGGAGUGGAAUGAAGAGACACAACUAUGUAAUCAAAGAAAGAAAUGGAUGAUGAAUGACCGGCACCUGGCCAAUCCUCAGAGCAUUUAUUUUUAAAAAGUUCUUAAAAUCCAAAGUUGCACCAAUCGAUCCAGUAGCAAAAAUUUUAAAGGCCAGGCUGGAACUAAAGACAUACAACUGUCAAUGGCUCUUUUCAGAGACGUGAACUUGGAACAAUUGGAAUACAAUCCAGCUGCCUUCACUGCAAUCCCAUCUUUUCUCCCCUCUUCUGGCGCCUGGUUCUGUGCAGCCACAUUGAUUGAGAAUUCCUAAGUUGAAUGAUGGAUCCACUUUGCAUAUCCCACCCUGGCUGCUCUGACCCUUUUCCUCCCUCAGAAGUCACUUCUUAACCACUUUCUGCUCACCAUUAUACAGCUCACCAGACAUCUUCUCUAACUUGCUCCCUACAUUAGGCAUUGGGUGAUCCUAUUUUGCAUGUCCCAAUAGCAACUUGUCUCUAUUGUGGCUCUGCUCUUGUUGACCUAGAAAUGUCUAGAUACUGGGGCUGUGUUUUAAAUCAUUUAAUCUCUAUGCCUACUAGGAACACUGUCUCUGCCAUUCCCUCUGCUGCUGAAAUGAUUUUUUUCAGGUCUUGGUCUCUCUCUCUCUCUCUCUCUCUCUCUCUCUCUCUCUCUCUCUCUCUCUCUCUCAUUUUCAGAUCUCUUCUGAUUCUCUAGCAGCACCCCAUUUACUUCUUUAACAGCAUGAGUCACAACCUGCAGGUCUUGAAUCUAUUUGCUUUCUUGUAUCUGUCCCUCCCUUUCCAGAGAGACUGUGAGAAGAAAAGGACUUUGCUUCCUUGUCUCUGUCACAGAGCCUGUCAUUGACUGGUAUUCUAAAAACAUCUCUUAAAUAAUAUCAUAUCUGGUACAUAAUAGUCAAAACUAAAAUUCAAUCUGGGGCUGCUUUCCUGCAUAUCUUUCAGAAAACUAAUGAUUUUAUUUUUAUUGUUAAAUUUUUUCCACUGUGAAUAUAAAACUUGAAAACCCCAAAAUGCUUAGGUAGAAACUGUGCAGAAGGUUUUUUCAUUGAGAUGAUGUCUCCUAGUGGCAAGGACUAUAUGCUUCUCUGGAGAGUAUUGGUUCUUCAUGAGCUUUCGAGACAAAGCAUAUUGUCUUUUAAAACCUUUACUUUUGGAAGGAAAAAAGGUUUUGAGAGGAAUCAGUAGUACCCUUGGGCAUUCUCCUGUGACUGUCCCCUGCCUGCCCUGUGCCAGUGCUGGGCUAUUCUGAUGCCAGCUCUACCCAGCACUCAGACCCCUAUUAAUUCAUGUUCCCGACUCAACUUACUAUUCAGGUGGAGUGACAUGUUCAGAAAAUAUUGUUUCCUCAAUAAUUUGUGUUAUCGUUUGUCAUCAAGGAAUAAAGGAGCCAGGAUUUUCUUUUAGCAUUGCUUUAAUGGCCACCCUGGCCUUCAGCACACUGCAUGGUGACAGUAGAAGACAAGUCAAGCACGGGAGGGGCACCAAGGGCAUCUGGCUCUCUCCUUGUCACUCAACACAACUCAUUCUCCAAAAGCAGAGUAAGCUCCCUGGCUCAGAGAGGCCCACCUUCGACCACCAGUCACACAACUCCCCUAAAAUAAGGGUAAAUAAGCCACUGACCCUUAGGGACAGAAGUUUGGGCUUCUUUGCCUUCACAUUUCUUGAAACCUCCAGGUCGCUCAGGACUGCAGCACAUAGAACUAUGAAAACACGCUGGAAUUUAAUGAGCCUCACUUCUGCUUUUUCACAGCCAUAACUAUGGAUGCCUUUAAGUCAUUUCUCUGUUUAGUAACUGAGUUUCCCCCAGCAGUCCCUUCUAUUUUGCCAGCAUUAUUGGCAUAGAGCACAGCCAGUCUGGAAGCACAACCUAGUUCCACCAGCUGCAGUAGCUGGGAGAUUUGGGGACAAUCAUGUGACCUCACGCACCCUCCUUUACAUACUGACAUAGGAGCCAUCCUCCUAAAGGUAUCUUCAAUUAAAUUAAAACAAGUCAGUUUUUUCCGCUACUGUGACUGAAAGACCUGACCAGAACAAAUGUAGAGGAGGAAAGAUUUAUCUAGAAGCUAACGGUUUCAGAGGUCCAUAGAAGGCUGCCUCCAUUCCUUGGGACUUGAGGUGAGGCAGAAUAUCAUGUUGGAAGAGUGUGGCAGAGAAAAGCAGCUCACAUGAUGAUCGGAAAGCAGAGAGAGAGAGACUUUACUGGCCAGAUACAAAAAUAUAUACCCCAAAGCCACACCCCAAUUCCCAUCUCUUCCAGCCACACCCUCCCACUUCAGUUACUACUAUCAGUUAAUCCCUAUCAGGGGAUUAAUUCACUGAUUGUGUUCGGACUCUCACAACCCAAUCAUUUCUCCUCUGAACCUUCUUAUAUUGUCUCACUUGUGAGCUUUUUGGGAACACCUCACAUCCAAACCAUAACAUUCUGCCCCUGGCCCCCCAAAGUUUACAACCAUCUCACAGUGUAAAACAUAUUUUAUCCAUUUCCAAGAAUCCCCACAGUCAACAGUUUUGAGAUUGCUUAACGUUCAACUCCAAAGUCUUUUCUGAGGUUGAAGGCAAUCUUGCACUGUGAGCUCCCAUAAAAUUAAAAGCAAUUUAAAAGUAUUCAAUGUAGAGAUUGGUGACUGAGAUUGGGGGUUCCUGAUUGCUUCAUGGUUGUGACGCACCUGCUACGGAAUGUCUCUGGGCAAGGGUACAGGAUGCCCCGUUGCUAUGGUGACACCCCAGCCAAAGAGGCUCUGUGAGAGAGUCUUAUCAGUUUCGACCUUGAUCUCAGACACAUAGCUCCCUGGGAUGGAGGAAUUCUGAGCAUGACAAGACAACCACAACAGUUCAUCAGCUUUGAGCCUGCCCUUGGCUUAACAGUAACUUUAGACAAUGGGCUUCCUGAGUGCUGCAGGAAGCUUCUAACAUUGCAACUAUGGAAAAGCUACUUAAAUGUUUCUAAGGCUGUAACUUUCUUGGUCACAAAGAACAAUUUCUCUAUAGUCUUUAACUUCUUGAUUAUGAGACCUUAUAUAAUAAACUUGUUGGAUCCAUCCUGCACUCACUGAUCUCCAUCAGAGUGCAGUGUUUCCACCUAAUCCAGCUUUCUUUUGAUACCUGAGUGUGUGUUUUCUUAAUCCCCCAUCACCUCUCGCUAGUUUCUUGGGUUUUGGCUGUGCAAGUAGCGGCAAUCCAAUAUAUAAUGGUACAGAAUAAAUAUUUCCACUCACAAAAUUAGGAUCAAAAUUAGAAAAGAGGGAUGGGACCGAAGCAAGACCAAAAUCCAGCUGGGAAACAAGUCCUGUACCUCCAUGUCCAGCAACAGGGGCACAUGGCAUUGAGAUUCUCUUCAAAGGGCUUGUGUAGCUCCACUCCUGUGGCCUAGUUGGUUACAGCCCAGGUGGCCUUCCUGUUGGCUUGUCUCUGCUUAAUUCCUGCAGCUUUCCUAGGACGAUGCCCCACGUUACUGGCAUUUCUUAAUCUUGCAGCUUUGGCUUCCUCUUCAAAUUUCCACACUUUGCCUUCCCAGGGGGUGCCUACAGGGACUCCUACCUUGCUGCACCUUGCCUGGCCUCCAAGGCCUUCCUUGGAAAUCUUGGUGGAAGCUUCCAUGACCCCCUAUCUCCAGCAUCUUGCAUUCCUGCAGAAAGCAGCACCAUGUGGU
rnacentral:lncRNA from 1 species